rnacentral:lncRNA from 1 species
UUUGUUACUGGGUUUUGUCUCAGAUUUUCCUCAACUUUAGAUUCAUGUAAUGAUGAAGGCUGAUCGAGAAAACUUGGCGACCGUUGAACUUAUCAUGCGAUAAUCUCUACCAUGCUAAAGAAACUUUUAAGCGUGGAUGACUGCUCAAUUUGUAGUACUAUAGCAAUUUCACAACCUGUGUCCUUUAUCAGUCACCGCAAUAGGUGGAUUUAUUAAUCACCAUC